AUUGAACGCUGGCGGCAUGCCUUACACAUGCAAGUCGAACGGUAACAGGGAGCUUGCUCCGCUGACGAGUGGCGAACGGGUGAGUAAUGCAUCGGAACGUACCCAGUAGUGGGGGAUAACGCAGCGAAAGCUGUGCUAAUACCACAUACGCACUGAGGUGGAAAGCAGGGGACCUUCGGGCCUUGUGCUAUUGGAGCGGCCGAUGUCAGAUUAGCUAGUUGGUGGGGUAAAAGCUCACCAAGGCGACGAUCUGUAGCUGGUCUGAGAGGAUGAUCAGCCACACUGGGACUGAGACACGGCCCAGACUCCUACGGGAGGCAGCAGUGGGGAAUUUUGGACAAUGGGGGCAACCCUGAUCCAGCCAUGCCGCGUGAGUGAAGAAGGCCUUCGGGUUGUAGAGCCCUUUCGGCCGGGAAGAAAUCUCCAUCUCUAACAUAGGUGGUGGAUGACGGUACCGGAAUAAGAAGCACCGGCUAACUACGUGCCAGCAGCCGCCGUAA
rnacentral:rRNA from 1 species